GAUGAACGCUGGCGGCGUGCCUAAUACAUGCAAGUCGAGCGAACGGACGAGAAGCUUGCUUCUCUGAUGUUAGCGGCGGACGGGUGAGUAACACGUGGAUAACCUACCUAUAAGACUGGGAUAACUUCGGGAAACCGGAGCUAAUACCGGAUAAUAUUUUGAACCGCAUGGUUCAAAAGUGAAAGACGGUCUUGCUGUCACUUAUAGAUGGAUCCGCGCUGCAUUAGCUAGUUGGUAAGGUAACGGCUUACCAAGGCAACGAUGCAUAGCCGACCUGAGAGGGUGAUCGGCCACACUGGAACUGAGACACGGUCCAGACUCCUACGGGAGGCAGCAGUAGGGAAUCUUCCGCAAUGGGCGAAAGCCUGACGGAGCAACGCCGCGUCAGUGAUGAAGGUCUUCGGAUCGUAAAACUCUGUUAUUAGGGAAGAACAUAUGUGUAAGUAACUGUGCACAUCUUGACGGUACCUAAUCAGAAAGCCACGGCUAACUACGUG
rnacentral:rRNA from 1 species